UUUUAUGGUGGUCAUGCACAGGGCGUCUUUGGACGCGCCGGUUUCCUUGUGCCCGGUCUACCAACCUGCGUAUGGCCACCACCUUU
rnacentral:antisense_RNA from 1 species